CUAAGGGCCCAAAGUCAUGGUUAAGUGGGAAACGAUGUGGGAAGGCCCAGACAGCCAGGAUGUUGGCUUAGAAGCUGCCAUCAUUUAAAGAAAGCGUAAUAGCUCACUGGUCGAGUCGGCCUGCGCGGAAGAUGUAACGGGGCUAAACCAAGCACCGAAGCUGCGGCAGCGAACGUAUCACUUAAAGCGAUACAGCGGGUUACGAUUGACGGAGCGAAGCGACGUCAAAGCGAAUACA
rnacentral:rRNA from 1 species